UUUUAUUCUAGCUUGUAUUUUUAAUUUAUAAAUUAUUUUAUAUGUUAAUUUUAGUGUGAAUAUUAUAUAUUUUAGAUAAAUAUAUUAUGAUUUUUUUAAUUCGCAAUAUUGAAGAUUGAAUAUAAAAGAAAUUUUGAUUUAGGAAUUUAUAAUAGUAUUGACAAAAUUUGUGCCAGCAGUUGCGGUUACACAAAUAAUGCAAUUAAAUAAGUUUAGUUAGUAAUUAAUUUAUUUUUGUUUAUAGUUUUAGAUUAAGUUUAUUAGGUGAAAUUAUUAAUUUUAUAAUUAGCUAUAAAAUAAAAAAUGAGGUUACGAAAUUUUUAUAAUAGACUAGGAUUAGAUACCCUAUUAUUAAAAAUUUAAAUUGUUAUACUUGAGUAGUAGUAGUUAUGUUCUUGAAAUUCAAAGAAUCUGGCGGUAUUUUAGUCUAUUCAGAGGAACCUGUCCUGUAAUUGAUAAUCCACGAUUAAUUGUACUUAUUUUAAAGGUUUGUAUAUCGUCGUAGUUUGAAUGUUCUAUGAGGGUUAUUAAUGUUCAAUAUUUAUAAUUAUAAAUAAAAUCAGAUCAAGAUACAGCGUAUAGAUAAGAAGAGAUGGGUUACAAUAAAAAUAUUUAAAUGGUUAAUAUAUUUAAUAUUAUAUUAUAAAGUGGAUUUGAUAGUAAUAUGAUUUAUUUAGAUUAUAUGAUUUUAGCUCUAAAAUAUGCACAUAUCGCCCGUCGCUCCCAUUUUAAGAUGGGAUAAGUCGUAACAAAGUAGGCGUACUGGAAAGUGUGCCUAGUAAGG
rnacentral:ncRNA from 1 species